AGUUGUUGCGUAAUGUUGUUUCGUAAUGUUUCUUCCUUUGCCUGUAGUUGUAGCCUUAAUUUAGUUUUUAAAUGCUAAUGUUGAUUUUUAAUUUAUUUAACAAA